UAAGGUUUGAUCUAAAGAAAACAAAACGAAAGGAUGUCGAAGUAACGUCGAUGAGUUAUGGCAUCCAUAAUCACAACCCCCACGUUCUCUAUUAAAUGGAGGUUUGAUUAUUUGUUCCAGGGCUUUCUCCUUGGUGUAUAUAUAGGUUCUGAUUCUUCUCUCCGAUUCCUCUAUUUUUACCGCUUCAGAUCUCCUAUACUCUCAUUUAAGCUUUGACAUUAUGGAGAAUCAACAGCUUCAUUUCUUCGACUUGAAGGCCGGACGCUACAAGGAAGUGGUUCAUACCAGACUCCUUUGUUACUGGGGAGGCUAGGAACGUCAAGAAAGGGGAUCAGUUGAUAUGCUGCUUCUUGAUGCCAAGUCUACGGCGACUCAGAGGGUCCAAUCAGUGUGCACGAGUUGAGCACCUUCAGACACUUACCCAAGGAAGGUGCUGUUUAUGAGCUUAGUGGAUUUGAUGUCUCAAGAAGCAACCCAAACUACCGUCUGAGCGACAGCCCCUUUUCUGUUCAGUUCACUGACCUAACCAGUUUCGUGGAGUUAUCUAACCCUGCCAAAUCGAUCCGCAUAGAGCACUUAAGGUUGAGGAACUAUGAUCAGCUUAUGGUAGUAGCCAACACUAAUACUGAUCUACCCGGUUACUAGUAAUACAUAAGUCAACUUUAUAUUGGUCACAACUUAUUUGUAUGUCAGAGACACCAAAGUGAGAAAUGUAAGCAGCUUUCAUCUGCUUAGGCUAAGGUUCUUAAGGCUCUAUCUAGGAGCUUGCAAAUGUUCUCAAGCAUAGGGCUUGCUUGCUGAGAUUUACUACAAUACAAUCUCGGUGGAUUCUGAUUGAAUUUAGAAUCAAGGGGGAAGCAACAUAAAUUCUGUUAAGCAACAGAGUCUAUUGAAGGCUAAGGAGAGAUUAUUGAAGAAACGGAGGAAAGAUGAAAAGCCAAAAGAUAAAGCCAUGAAGAUGAUCACUGAAAUGGAAUCUAAAUCAAAUGACAGUGAUUGCGACAUAGGAUAAGCUACUGACUGGCGUGAGCUCCUAAGCCAGAAUCUGGAGAAGCAACCAUUCCUACAAUUCAAUCGAGUAAUUCCUAUAAGCUCAAAAAAUAUGAAAAUUCUUCCAAGAACACCGGUGAAGCAUAGAAGCUAGCCCUGCUGCAAUCAGCUGCUGCAUUGACAUCCUUUUCCUGAGUUGUUAGUCAUAGAAGUACAUUGAAUAUCGUAAAAUCAGUUUAAAAUGUUGGCUUUCCGUUGAAGAGAGUAGAAGUUUGUAUGGGAGGAAACUGCAAGAAUUAAGUAGGAGCUGUGUUGUUGGAUGAGUUUCAGAAGGCAGUGACGAGCAUGGAAGGAUCAAUUGUGGCUUGAAACUGAAUGGGCAAGUGUUGAGAUAGCCAAAACGUUAAGAGUCGUGAACUAGACUGACGAUAUGAUAUGAUGACUGUUUCAGUUACAACACCUUCAAAGACCAUUUGUAUUGGAGUUGGGUUGCUACUGUGGUGAAAAGAUUACUCUAUUUCUCUGUCUAAUAGGUUCCUCUCUCUGCACUUUCAAAAUCAGUACCAAGUAUUUUCACUGUUGCUAAUGCUUGAAUUGAAAGCUAAAUGAAAUUAAGAUGGUGUAUAAAAAUGUAGAACUUAAACCAGUAAGGGUUAUAUCAAU